AAUACGAUCUAUAAGUAUGGGUAUACAGGUAAUAAUGGCUUUUAUAAACUUGUUUUGUAAAUAAUGGCAAAUGUCGAAAGACUUCGUAUGCUGUGCACGCUAGGACAAUAUAUUUAAACUAGUUAUAUGUCCGUCAUUUAUUACGGGUUGUCGAAAUGUUAUAAUAAUGGCUAGUGACGAAUCUAAAUGCUGUAAAUCUUGAUAGCGAAAACUUUUUUACGCAUUAAUUUCAAUGAAUUAACGA